GAUGAACGCUGGCGGCGUGCCUAAUACAUGCAAGUCGAGCGAACGGACGAGAAGCUUGCGUCUCUGAUGUUAGCGGCGGACGGGUGAGUAACACGUGGAUAACCUACCUAUAAGACUGGGAUAAUUUCGGGAAACCGGAUCUAAUACCGGAUAAUAUUUUGAACCGCAUGGGUCAAAGGAGAAAGACGGUCUUUCUGUCACUUAUAGAUGGAUCCGCGCUGCAUUAGCUAGUUGGUAAGGUAACGGCUUACCAAGGCAACGAUGCAUAGCCGACCUGAGAGGGUGAUCGGCCACACUGGAACUGAGACACGGUCCAGCCUCCUACGGGAGGCAGCAGUAGGGAAUCUUCCGCAAUGGGCGGAAGCCUGACGGAGCAACGCCGCGUGAGUGAUGAAGGUCUUCGGAUCGUAAAACUCUGUUAUUAGGGAAGAACAUAUGUGUAAGUAACUGUGCACAUCUUGACGGUACCUAAUCAGAAAGCCACGGCUAACUACGUG
rnacentral:rRNA from 1 species